GGCAUAAUACAUGCAAGUCGAACGAACUCUGGUAUUGAUUGGUGCUUGCAUCAUGAUUUACAUUUGAGUGAGUGGCGAACUGGUGAGUAACACGUGGGAAACCUGCCCAGAAGCGGGGGAUAACACCUGGAAACAGAUGCUAAUACCGCAUAACAACUUGGACCGCAUGGUCCGAGCUUGAAAGAUGGCUUCGGCUAUCACUUUUGGAUGGUCCCGCGGCGUAUUAGCUAGAUGGUGGGGUAACGGCUCACCAUGGCAAUGAUACGUAGCCGACCUGAGAGGGUAAUCGGCCACAUUGGGACUGAGACACGGCCCAAACUCCUACGGGAGGCAGCAGUAGGGAAUCUUCCACAAUGGACGAAAGUCUGAUGGAGCAACGCCGCGUGAGUGAAGAAGGGUUUCGGCUCGUAAAACUCUGUUGUUAAAGAAGAACAUAUCUGAGAGUAACUGUUCAGGUAUUGACGGUAUUUAACCAGAAAGCCACGGCUAACUACGUGCCAGCAGCCGCGGUAAUACGUAGGUGGCAAGCGUUGUCCGGAUUUAUUGGGCGUAAAGCGAGCGCAGGGGGGAGUACGGCCGCAAGGCUGAAACUCAAAGGAAUUGACGGGGGCCCGCACAAGCGGUGGAGCAUGUGGUUUAAUUCGAAGCUACGCGAAGAACCUUACCAGGUCUUGACAUACUAUGCAAAUCUAAGAGAUUAGACGUUCCCUUCGGGGACAUGGAUACAGGUGGUGCAUGGUUGUCGUCAGCUCGUGUCGUGAGAUGUUGGGUUAAGUCCCGCAACGAGCGCAACCCUUAUUAUCAGUUGCCAGCAUUAAGUUGGGCACUCUGGUGAGACUGCCGGUGACAAACCGGAGGAAGGUGGGGAUGACGUCAAAUCAUCAUGCCCCUUAUGACCUGGGCUACACACGUGCUACAAUGGAUGGUACAACGAGUUGCGAACUCGCGAGAGUAAGCUAAUCUCUUAAAGCCAUUCUCAGUUCGGAUUGUAGGCUGCAACUCGCCUACAUGAAGUCGGAAUCGCUAGUAAUCGCGGAUCAGCAUGCCGCGGUGAAUACGUUCCCGGGCCUUGUACACACCGCCCGUCACACCAUGAGAGUUUGUAAUACCCAAAGUCGGUGGGGUAACCUUUUAGGAACCAGCCGC
rnacentral:rRNA from 2 species